AGAGUUUGAUCCUGGCUCAGAACUAACGCUAGUGGCGUGUCUUAGUCAUGCGAGUCGAGCGAGAAAGUCCUCUUCGGAGGGCGAGUACAGCGGCAAACGGGUGAGUAACGCGUGGGUAAUCUACCUUUGAGUUGGGGAUAACACUCCUAACGGAGUGCUAAUACCGAAUGUGAUGUCGGGAUCUUGGUUCCGGCUUGAAAGAUGGCCUCUGCUUGCAUGCUGUCGCUCGAAGAUGAGCCCGCGUCCUAUUAGCUUGUUGGUGGGGUAAUGGCCUACCAAGGCAACGAUGGGUAGCCGGCCUGAGAGGGUGAACGGCCACACUGGCACUGAGACAAGGGCCAGUCCCCUACGGGGGCCAGCAGUCUAGAAAUUUGCACAAUCGCCGAAAGGCGGAUGCAGCGACGCCACGUGGAGGAUGAAGCCUUUCGGGGUGUAAACUCCUGUCAGAGGGGAAGAAGGUGCGGGUAUUAAUACCAUCCGUUACUUGACGGUACCCUCAGAGGAAGCUCCGGCUAACUGCGUGCCAGCAGCCGCGGUAAUACGUGGGGAGCAAGCGUUGUUCGGAUUUACUGGGCGUAAAGAGCUCGUAGGCGGAUGUGUAAGUCGGAUGUGAAAUCCUUUGGCUCAACCAGAGAAUUGCACCCGAAACUGCAUGUCUUGAGUUCAGCAGAGGGAAUCGGAAUCCAAGGUGUAGCGGUGAAAUGCGUAGAUAUCUUGGAGAACACCAGUGGCGAAGGCGGAUUCCUGGGCUGACACUGACGCUGAGGAGCGAAAGCUGGGGGAGCGAACAGGAUUAGAUACCCUGGUAGUCCCAGCUGUAAACGAUGAGCACUGCGUA
rnacentral:rRNA from 1 species